rnacentral:rRNA from 1 species
UUUUGGACAAUGGGCGCAAGCCUGAUCCAGCAAUGCCGCGUGAGUGAAGAAGGCCUUCGGGUUGUAAAGCUCUUUUGUCAGGGAAGAAACGGUGAGCUCUAUACAGUUUGCUAAUGACGGCACCUGAAGAAUAAGCACCGGCUAACUACGUGCCAGCAGCCGCGGUAAUACGUAGGGUGCGAGCGUUAAUCGGAAUUACUGGGCGUAAAGCGUGCGCAGGCGGUUAUAUAAGACAGUUGUGAAAUCCCCGGGCUCAACCUGGGAAUUGCAUCUGUGACUGUAUAGCUAGAGUACGGUAGGGGGGGAUGGAAUUCCGCGUGUAGCAGUGAAAUGCGUAGAUAUGCGGAGGAACACCGAUGGCGAAGGCAAUCCCCUGGACCUUACUGACGCUCAUCACGGA